rnacentral:rRNA from 1 species
UUCAGUGCUGCAGCUAACGCAUUAAGCACUCCGCCUGGGGAGUACGACCGCAAGGUUGAAACUCAAAGGAAUUGACGGGGGCCCGCACAAGCGGUGGAGCAUGUGGUUUAAUUCGAAGCAACGCGAAGAACCUUACCAGGUCUUGACAUCCUUUGACCACUCUAGAGAUAGAGCUUCCCCUUCGGGGGCAAAGUGACAGGUGGUGCAUGGUUGUCGUCAGCUCGUGUCGUGAGAUGUUGGGUUAAGUCCCGCAACGAGCGCAACCCUUAUUGUUAGUUGCCAUCAUUUAGUUGGGCACUCUAGCGAGACUGCCGGUGACAAACCGGAGGAAGGUGGGGAUGACGUCAAAUCAUCAUGCCCCUUAUGACCUGGGCUACACACGUGCUACAAUGGGAAGUACAACGAGUCGCGAAGUCGCGAGGCUAAGCUAAUCUCUUAAAGCUUCUCUCAGUUCGGAUUGUAGGCUGCAACUCGCCUACAUGAAGCCGGAAUCGCUAGUAAUCGCGGAUCAGCACGCCGCGGUGAAUACGUUCCCGGGCCUUGUACACACCGCCCGUCACACCACGAGAGUUUGUAACACCCGAAGUCGGUGAGGUAACCUUUUGGAGCCAGCCGCCUAAGGUGGGAUAGAUGAUUGGGGUGAAGUCGUAACAAGGUAGCCGUAUCGGAAGGUGCGGCUGGAUCACCUCCUUU